GUGCGGCUUGUGCGGUGUGGUGCCGGUGGAGAACACAUGAUCAGCAGCAAGAAGCACAGUGAGCAAUUUCCCCGAUGUAGGGCCCGGAUGAGAUUAACCCUUUCAGCGCCUCUGUGAGCAACUAUGCAGCCAAGAUCAACAUUAAGACCAGCUCCUAGGCUGCUGCCUGACAGGGAUCACAUGAGCAACAGCAAGAGGCAGAGCAUGCAAUUCCCUGAUGCAAGGUCCGGGCAAAAUUAACCUUUUUCAGCACUGCAGAAUUCCAUCUGAGAUCAAAUAAAUCUGUGAACGCCAAUCUUCUCCCAAGUCAGAGGAAAGUAAAGGUGAAGGCACGUGAAGAAAACAACAAGAAGACACCAAGGUCGGUGAAGAAGGAGGGUCCAAAGCCCAGAGGAAAGAAGGAGAGGAGAUGUUCCGGUUUCAGAGCUGAAAACCUUUUGCAAGCCGAGACCUUGGAGUCUGUCGCCUCCUUCAGCUGUCCCUAAUAUGAGAGCAACAUCUGGUGACCGCCAACGUUCAUUGCAGCCAAGACUGAAGAACUGGGGUCACCCUCCGCACUCCAUUAAGAGAGACUAUAAUUGGACCCCCAAGCCGACCAGGACUUCGGAGACUCCCCCGACACGACAAGACGGAUCCCCAUCGUCCGGACCACUGAGGAUCUUGCCUGUGUUGGUAGCUAUUCCCAUCCACCUCUUCUUCUCUCCCUCUCUCUCUCUAUUCUUUUAUCUCCUUUCUGACCCCACUAUCGCAUUUACUGUUUUGGCCCCUAAUAAAGGUGCAUUUGUUGUGAUUAACUAAUAGCCCCUUGUUGUUUGCCUUUUUGCACUUUUGGGAUCAGUGAAAAGAACCAUCACGAUUCCUUUGCCCCUAUGGGCGGAUCGUGACAGCGUGCCCCUCCGUUUACCCCCUGGCCCCUCCUUUCUCUGCCCCGCUGUUUUCUGCUGCUGCUUCGGGCUUUUUUGCUACACUUUAAUUGGACUCCCAGUGUUUGCCCAGAUCUCCCCCAGCUCCUGGCACAGCUUCAGAGUUCUUGCUAUGUUUUGCUUGCCACCCUGGGUGUGCUUGCCUCUGCUGUUCCAGUGUGCUGCUCCGAGGUCCCUGGUGCAGUCCAUUUCACCAUCAGGAGUGGCACCGGGACUGGCUGCCCCUGCUGUGAGUUUGCAAAGAAAGUCCCUUUUCUAUCUCUCUCACCAGCUGAGCCACCAUUACUACAUGCAGAAAGGCGGCUGAGCUUGCACCACAACACCCCCUGCAGUCACAGGGCAAUAAUUGCACUUGGCCUGCCUGGCUGGGAGCCAACAGCACCCCUGCCGGCUAU